rnacentral:rRNA from 1 species
CCUACGGGAGGCAGCAGUGGGGAAUCUUGGGCAAUGGGCGAAAGCCUGACCCAGCCACAUCGCAUGAGUGAAGAAGGCUGAUUGGUCGUAAAACUCUGACUUUAGGCAAGAUUAUGACAUAACCUUUAGAAAUAGUCCCGGCCAACUCUGUGCCAGCAGCCGCGGUAAU